AUCGCUUCUCGGCUCUUUUGAGCUAAGAUCAAGUGUAGUAUCUGUUCUAUCUCAAGGCAAGAUAUCCUGGGACGGAACUACAGUAUGUCGUUUCCUCUAUGUAUUAAUUACUGGAUUUUGUGCAACUUGGAGUAUGGUGCUGGAGCUUGCUCCACCCUGCUCACGGGUUGUCCUGGUAUUGCAGUACCUCCAGGUUCGGCUCACGUUUC
rnacentral:snRNA from 1 species